CGUGGCUUUCGGAGCUAACGCGUUAAGUAGACCGCCUGGGGAGUACGGUCGCAAGAUUAAAACUCAAAUGAAUUGACGGGGGCCCGCACAAGCGGUGGAGCAUGUGGUUUAAUUCGAUGCAACGCGAAGAACCUUACCUACUCUUGACAUCCAGAGAAGCCAGCGGAGACGCAGGUGUGCCUUCGGGAGCUCUGAGACAGGUGCUGCAUGGCUGUCGUCAGCUCGUGUUGUGAAAUGUUGGGUUAAGUCCCGCAACGAGCGCAACCCUUAUCCUUGUUUGCCAGCGAGUAAUGUCGGGAACUCCAGGGAGACUGCCGGUGAUAAACCGGAGGAAGGUGGGGACGACGUCAAGUCAUCAUGGCCCUUACGAGUAGGGCUACACACGUGCUACAAUGGCGCAUACAGAGGGCAGCAAGCUAGCGAUAGUGAGCGAAUCCCAAAAAGUGCGUCGUAGUCCGGAUUGGAGUCUGCAACUCGACUCCAUGAAGUCGGAAUCGCUAGUAAUCGUGAAUCAGAAUGUCACGGUGAAUACGUUCCCGGGCCUUGUACACACCGCCCGUCACACCAUGGGAGUGGGCUGCAAAAGAAGUGGGUAGUUUAACCUUUCGGGGAGGACGCUCACCACUUUGUGGUUCAUGACUGGGGUGAAGUCGUAACAAGGUAGCCCUAGGGGAACCUGGGGCUGGAUCACCUCCUUA
rnacentral:rRNA from 1 species